rnacentral:rRNA from 1 species
GGAGGAAGGUGGGGAUGACGUCAAAUCAUCAUGCCCCUUAUGACUUGGGCUACACACGUGCUACAAUGGCGUAAACAAAGAGAAGCGAAGCUGUGAGGCAGAGCAAAUCUCAAAAAUAACGUCUCAGUUCGGAUUGUAGUCUGCAACUCGACUACAUGAAGCUGGAAUCGCUAGUAAUCGCGAAUCAGAAUGUCGCGGUGAAUACGUUCCCGGGUCUUGUACACACCGCCCGUCACACCAUGGGAGUCAGUAACGCCCGAAGUCAGUGACCUAACCGCAAGGAAGGAGCUGCCGAAGGCGGGACCGAUAACUGGGGUGAAGUCGUAAC